CCCAUAUGGGUAAGCCCAUAUGGGCGUCAUUUGGGACCAAUAUGGGCUAGCCCAUAUGGGAAUGCCCACAAGGGUCCCAUAUAGGUCCCAUAUUAUUGCGCUAUCGGGAAAAAUAUGUAAACUUGUAUUUAUUUGAUUAAAAACUCAUUUCUUAAAACGUAUGUAGGACUAACUUGAUCUAAACUGCUAAUAUUCUACCCAAAAAUAGAAAAUCAAUGCAUAAGCAAAUAAUAUGCGGCCCAUAUGGGUCCCAUACGGGUCCCAUAUGGGAGUCAUUUGGGAGCUAUAUGGGCUUGCCCAUGUGGCAAUGGCGAUAAGGGUCCCAUCUAGGUCCCAUAUUAUUGCGCUAUCACGAAAAAGAUGUAAACUUGUAUUUAUUUGAUUAAAAACUCAUUUCUUAAAACGUAUGCUGGACUAACUUGAUCUAAACUGCUAAUAUUUUACCCAAAAAUAGAUGGGUCCCAUUUGGGCCGCCCAACAAAGGACAAAAUCAGCUACCGGGCUGUUUCUGGGCAAACCCAUAUGGGUAAGCCCAAAUGGGAGUCAUUUGGGACCUAUAUGGGUUAGCCCAUAUGGGAAUGCCCUUAAGGGUCCCAUAUAGGUCCCAUAUUAUUGCGCUAUCAGGAAAAAGAUAUAAACUUUUAUUUAUUUGAUUAAAAACUAAUUUUUUAAAACGUAUUUAUGACAAACUUGAUCUCAACUGCUAAUAUUUUGCCCAUACGGGUCCCAUUUGGGCCGCCCAACAAAGGACAAAAUCAGCUAUCGGGCGCACAUUUUUUUGAAAAUUCUGUUUUUGAUAUGGCUUUGUUUCAAAUAAUGUAUAUACUAUGAUUAAUAUGAAGUCAUUUUCAAUAGAUAAUUUUAAUUUAAAUAAUCGCGCAGAAAAAUAAAGUAUUUAAAUAAUAUGCGCAUGCGCAGAUGUUAAUUCCGCCUCGCGAAAACAUCCAAAACAAAACACUCAAAACGAAAAUUAAAUAUUCACCACCACCUGGUUUGCCAACAUCGUCUUUACAAGGAAUGUCCAGCAGUGCAUGACAGAGGCCGGUCACUCCCAUUAAGUCCAGCUGAAGAGCCUUCCCAGUUCAUAGGACAAAAUGCAGUUACACAGAUUUUAACGGUGUUGGAAACAAUGAGAGACGAGAACAGGGAAAUGAAGCGGAUGCUGCAUCGGCUCUUGGCUAGGUCAGCUACUGAUGACGAGCCAAUGCAACUGCCAUCAGUCUUCCGAUUGGAACAUUUGAGCAAAUAGAUGAGUUUGAAGAGCAUCUUGGUGAUGAAGCUACGAUCCAUCUUUUCUAGGACUGCUGCAUAGUUCAAGCUUUUUUAUCAAAUAUAUUAAGCAAUGUUGUAAAUGUAAUUGACAGUUCUUUCUCCAUUGAUCCUAAACCAUUCCUUUAAGGAUCAUUUUCUAAGAAAGCAUACAUUCUUUUUAUCUGGAAAUGAAAUGGUAUAUAUUCCUUUGCAAAAGAAGAAACAGCAUUCCAGUUUUUGAAGGUUUUAAAAGACAUAUAUAUAUAUAUAUAUCAUGUGCAAUUACGAAAAACACUAGAAUGUAUGAAGAUAUCAAAGAUAAUAAUAUGGACUUGUUCUCGAAAUAGGAUUUGCCAUUUAUUUGAGUUUUUUUUAUUUUUCUGCAGGGUUUUUAAUUUCUAGUUUAUAAAAUAUUUUGUUUAGUCUUGCAAGUAUGUUUUCUACAAAUGUUCUUUGAGUACAUGGUGUGUUAUUUGUAUUGGUUAAAGAUUUAAUAUGCAUGGGUAUGCUUUUGAGUAAUGUGUAGUACAUCAGGAAAAUACUUGAAGGUAUUCUGUAUAUGUAAUAUAUAUUUUAUAUCAAAAUAAUAGGAGUCCUUAAUUCUAUAGUUGUAUAACUGGUCAACAUAUAUAAUGUUAUAGAAAAACGUCGUAUUGUUUGAAGUUAUGUCAUUAUUGUUCCAUAAAAUAGUUCAACUGUUGGUUUGGGUUUAUAGAUUAUGAGUAACAUUACUCCAUGCGGAUAGAACAUUAGAUAGAAACAUGUUUUCGUUAGCAACUUCAUGUAAAAUAUUUUUGCUGAUGUUACAUUCAAAAAGUUAGGAAUCACCAUAUUAUUUUAGAAUUCUCUGGUAGAAUAGUUAACGUGGGAUCCUCCUGCUAUUUAUGUAUGUAUCCAUGUAUAUGUGUGUAAUACUUUAUGUGAAUAAAAGUUGAGAGUACUUUAAUAAAUUUUUAAGUCUUUUAACAAAAA